rnacentral:snoRNA from 1 species
AAAAUUGGAAAAAACAAGAAUUGAGCGCAUCAAUGUUUUGAUGCGCUCAAUUCUUGUUUUUUCCA